AACAUCUGGUCAUCCGUCCGCUCCUUUCUAGGCACCAGCAGGCACUGAGGUCCCGGGAUCCCAAAAGGAUUCCCUUGGAGCUGUCUUGCACAGCCUGGAGCUUGACAACGGACGGCAGCCGCGUGCACCGCUCCCACGGCCCGGUUGUCGCUUGACCAGCCCUUCGGAGAGGCCGCAUCAGGCAGUCUGCCGGGACCAGCCCGGGAGCCGUCAAGGCCGCCUCCGGCUGCCAGGGCUCUCACGGUGCUGCCCUGCCCCCUGCCCCCUGGACGAGCUCUUCACGCCCCUCUUUUCUGUCCGCGGGAGCGUGCCUGUGCCGCCAUGAGAGCUUCCGCCAUGGAUUCAGUGAUGCGGUCACAAACCGCUUCCUGUGGUGGCUGCGGGGCAGGGGUGCGGCCUCGCAGGCCCCAGGUGCGGUGCGUGGUGCAGAAGUCGCUCGUGAUGGGGGCUGCGUGCUGCUGAACGUGUCACAUGGCGAACAGAAGGCCGAGGCCGCCACCCCGCCUCAGGCCUUCGUGAGCCCCAGGCCCGGCGCAGCCACGCAGGGGUGGCUUGCAAGGGGACCACCCCCUACAUCCUCUCCAUCUGAUGCGGUUUCAGCGCACCUUGCAGGUAAGGGUGUAGACCAGGAGGACAGCUGUGAAGUCGACUCCGAAGCGUUCAGGCACUUCUCAUGAAGAACUGGGCUCGGGCUCCACCACCUGCUAGCUGUGUGCGACCCCGGGGCAAGUUCUCCAGGUGCUAAGGUGGCGUCUCCCACGGAUACGACUUGGAUCCCUAGAGCCUCAUGAGCACUGGAUGGCAACGCCCAGGUCAAGCACGGAAGUUGGAUUAGCCCUCCCUACAGAAACAUGCAGCUUCUUGGCUGAGCGGGACCCUUUGCUGAAAUGCUGUCCCUGGGUCCAUCUUAAUUAACCGCCUUCUGUGAAAGCCUA